AUGGAGCUACCCGAGAAAGAACUCGACAACAUCUUGCAAGCUACAUUGAGCCCUAUGUUCUUUACCCACAGCUCACCUCGUGCCGUCCCAUCCCCUGCUGCUAUUGCAGGGCGCACGUUGUUGAUCUAUUCCAUCAGGAUUCUGGAAAAGAAAGGAAAAACCUUGAAGUGGCCACUCAAAGUGUAUGGUGUGAUCGUUGCUCGAGACACGGUGGAUCGCAACCGCAACAUUCUAUUCUCUCGAUCAAGGUGUAACUACCAAAAACUCGAUAAACAAGUAUGUACUAUAUAUUUCAGUUUGCUCCUCAAUUUUCUUUGUUUCCUCUUCCUACUUUCCUAG
rnacentral:rRNA from 1 species